UGGGGAAUAUUGUACAAUGGGCGAAAGCCUGAUGCAGCAACGCCGCGUGAGCGAUGAAGGCCUUUGGGUCGUAAAGCUCUGUCCUUGGGGAAGAAAAAAAUGACGGUACCCUUGGAGGAAGCCCCGGCUAACUACGUGCCAGCAGCCGCGGUAAUACGUAGGGGGCAAGCGUUAUCCGGAAUUAUUGGGCGUAAAGAGUGCGUAGGUGGUUUUGUAAGCGCGGGGUGAAAGGCAAUAGCUCAACUAUUGUAAGCCCUGCGAACUGUAAGACUUGAGUGCAGGAGAGGAAAGCGGAAUUCCUAGUGUAGCGGUGAAAUGCGUAGAUAUGAGGAGGAACACCAGUGGCGAAGGCGGCUUUCUGGACUGUAACUGACACUGAGGCACGAAAGCGUGGGGAGCAAACA
rnacentral:rRNA from 1 species